GGUGCUCGAGUGGCGAACGGGUGAGUAACACGUGAGUAACCUGCCCUUGACUUUGGGAUAACUUCAGGAAACUGGGGCUAAUACCGGAUAGGAGCUCCUGCUGCAUGGUGGGGGUUGGAAAGUUUCGGCGGUUGGGGAUGGACUCGCGGCUUAUCAGCUUGUUGGUGGGGUAGUGGCUUACCAAGGCUUUGACGGGUAGCCGGCCUGAGAGGGUGACCGGCACAUUGGGACUGAGAUACGGCCCAG
rnacentral:rRNA from 1 species